CCUACGGGAGGCAGCAGUGAGGAAUAUUGGUCAAUGGGCGCGAGCCUGAACCAGCCAAGUCGCGUGAGGGAAGACGGUCCUAUGGAUUGUAAACCUCUUUUGUCGGGGAGCAAAAGACGCCACGCGUGGCGUUCCGAGAGUACCCGAAGAAAAAGCAUCGGCUAACUCGGUGCCAGCAGCCGCGGUAAUACGGAGGAUGCGAGCGUUAUCCGGAUUUAGUGGGUUUAAAGGGUGCGCAGGCGGAAGAGCAAGUCAGCGGUAAAAUUGAGAGGCUCAACCUCUUCGAGCCGUUGAAACUGGUUUUCUUGAGUGAGCGAGAAGUAGGCGGAAUGCGUGUUGUAGCGGUGAAAUGCAUAGAUAUCACGCAGAACUCCGAUUGCGAAGGCAGCAUACCGGCGCUCAACUGACGCUCAUGCACGAAAGUGUGGGUAUCGAACAGGAUUAGAUACCCUGGUAGUC
rnacentral:rRNA from 1 species